rnacentral:other from 1 species
AUGAUCCUGCCGUGUGCGUGAGACCGAAAUGGGGUUUUGAGCCAACACUUUAACAAAAUGGGAGCCUAAGGUCCUGGACAAGGAUGCGGUAGCCUUCGGGCAAGGCAGAAUUGUCCGGCAGGCGCCCACCUGCGUGAGCAGGGUCAAAACCAACGGUACACGGCACGGCGGGGACUGA